AGAUAAUCCGGAUUUGAGGACAAAUCCUUUUUCAAGAGGGAGAAUAUGAUAUGAUAAUGGGAAGCAUUAGGAUAUGUGUUCAGUUUUUGAGGCGUAUCUUCCGAAUGACAAGGAAUCAAAGCACGAAACCACUUGGGGAAUGUGCUCAGCUCAAAUAGGGAACUCCUCGAAGAAGAAUCAAAGCAAACGGAGAUCAAACGAAGGAGUUAUUGAAUUUACAAAUCAUGUGUUCUCCAGUUUACCAGAUGCGGACCUGCGCGCAUUCAAUGAAGAAUUCCGAACAGACCAGAAUGAACUAAGCUACAAACUGAGUUGUUCUACAAUCUUGGUACAUUAGAGAUGCCCAGAAAAUUGGAUUCAGCCCAAAAAUAAUCAAGGAAGAUCAAUUUUCGUCCAUAGCAAAGACUGCAUUUAAUUCUGUCGAUUUCUCUCUCUUACAUGCACUUUAGAGUUUGAAUUUCAUCUCCCUAGAUGCUUUGCAUGUUAAGAAACUAUUAUGGCAGAAUUUGUUGUAAUUCCUCUAUAUAAUGAGGUUCAUCUCAUGAAUAAAGAAUAAGCCUUUUUGAUAUUUUUGGAAUCCUUUGAGAGUGAGUUUUCAUUUUUCGUCAAUGGUGUGUAAUAUCCAUUGGUUUGGUUAAUGGUGUGUCCAUUGAUCAAUACAUGAUCCGUCUUGGUGCAUCAUAUCCAGGGGGUCUUGUCGAAAGUGAUUCUCAUUUUCAGCCUUGAAUUCGUCUUAGUGUGUCAUAUCUAAGGAAUUCAAGUUCGGUAAAUCAAGAGUCUUCCGCAGCUCUUGUGUGACCAUUCGCUCCACCAUCCUUGUUCUUCGUGGCUUCACCGUCCGUUGAACCUAAGGAAUAUAUUUUCACCGUCUUAGAGUGCCGACUCCUUGGGAGAUUCUCAUCACAUAAUAAGCUUGUGUAUGGUUUUUGGAGUCCAAUAUGACAAGAUUGGUGUGUAUGACUGAGUAUAAGAAAGUGAAAUGCAACCCGGAUCCUGGCUGCUAAAGUAGAGUAGAUAUAAAACAAAAAAACUCAUAGGGACUUCGUCCUCACUUACAAAACUUGGGAAAGGCAUAAUAAGCUUGUGUAUGGUUUUUGGAGUCCAAUAUGACAAGAUUGGUGUGUAUGACUGAGUAUAAGAAAGUGAAAUGCAACCCGGAUCCUGGCUGCUAAAGUAGAGUAGAUAUAAAACAAAAAAACUCAUAGGGACUUCGUCCUCACUUACAAAACUUGGGAAAGCCAUAAUAAGCUUGUGUAUGGUUUUUGGAGUCUAAUAUGACAAGAUUGGUGUGUAUGACUGAGUAUAAGAAAGUGAAAUGCAACCCGGAUCCUGGCUGCUAAAGUAGAGUAGAUACAAAACAAAAAAACUCAU
rnacentral:lncRNA from 1 species